UCUGCUGGGCCAUCACUGACGCUCAUGGACGAAAGCCAGGGGAGCGAAAGGGAUUAGAUACCCCUGUAGUCCUGGCCGUAAACGAUGAACACUAGGUGUCGGGGGAAUCGACCCCCUCGGUGUCGUAGCCAACGCGUUAAGUGUUCCGCCUGGGGAGUACGCACGCAAGUGUGAAACUCAAAGGAAUUGACGGGGGCCCGCACAAGCGGUGGAGUAUGUGGUUUAAUUCGAUGCAACGCGAAGAACCUUACCAGGGUUUGACAUCCUGCGAAUCUCUUGGAAACGAGAGAGUGCCUUCGGGAGCGCAGUGACAGGUGGUGCAUGGCUGUCGUCAGCUCGUGUCGUGAGAUGUUGGGUUAAGUCCCGCAACGAGCGCAACCCACGUCUUUAGUUGCCAGCAUUUAGUUGGGCACUCUAGAGAGACCGCCGGUGAUAAACCGGAGGAAGGUGUGGAUGACGUCAAGUCAUCAUGCCCCUUACAUCCUGGGCUACACACGUACUACAAUGCUACGGACAAAGGGCAGCAAGUUCGCGAGGACAAGCAAAUCCCAUAAACCGUGGCUCAGUUCAGAUCGUAGGCUGCAACUCGCCUACGUGAAGGAGGAAUCGCUAGUAAUCGCAGGUCAGCAUACUGCGGUGAAUACGUUCCCGGGCCUUGUACACACCGCCCGUCACACCAUGGAAGUUGGCCACGCCCGAAGCCGUUACUCCAACCCUUGUGGAGGAGGACGUCGAAGGUGGGGCUGAUGACUGGGGUGAAGUCGUAACAAGGUAACCGUA
rnacentral:rRNA from 1 species